GACCGCGUAGCUCAGUUGGCAGAGCAUUGGGCUAGUAUUCCAAAGGUCGUAGGUUCGAAUCCCACCAUGGUCA